AAAAUACUCCCUCCGUCCCAAAAUUCUUGUCCUAAAUUUGUCUAGAUACGGAUGUAUCAAGUCACAUUUUAGUAUUAGAUACAUCUGUAUCUAGACGAAUCUAAGACAAGAAAUUUGGGACAGAGGGAGUAUUUG
rnacentral:pre_miRNA from 1 species